rnacentral:rRNA from 1 species
GUGACGAAGCGACGCCGCGUGUGGGAAGAAGGCCUUCGGGUUGUAAACCACUGUCGGGAGUUAAGAAAGGCGGGAGAGUGAAUAGCUUUCCUGUUUUGACGAAAGCUCCGGAGGAAGCCACGGCUAACUCUGUGCCAGCAGCCGCGGUAAUACAGAGGUGGCAAGCGUUGUUCGGAAUUAUUGGGCGUAAAGGGCACGUAGGCGGCCCUGCAAGUCAGUUGUGAAAUCCUUCCGCUUAACGGAAGAACGGCAGGUGAUACUACAGGGCUAGAGUGCGGUAGGGGAGAGCGGAACUUCUGGUGGAGCGGUGAAAUGCGUAGAUAUCAGAAGGAACACCGGCGGCGAAAGCGGCUCUCUGGUCCGUAACUGACGCUGAGGUGCGAAAGCUAGGGGAGCAAACGGGAUUAGAUACCCCGGUAGUCCUAGCCGUAAACGAU